GAUGAACGCUGGCGGCGUGCCUAAUACAUGCAAGUCGAACGAAACUUCUUUAUCACCGAGUGCUUGCACUCACCGAUAAAGAGUUGAGUGGCGAACGGGUGAGUAACACGUGGGCAACCUGCCCAAAAGAGGGGGAUAACACUUGGAAACAGGUGCUAAUACCGCAUAACCAUAGUUACCGCAUGGUAACUAUGUAAAAGGUGGCUAUACUACCGCUUUUGGAUGGGCCCGCGGCGCAUUAGCUAGUUGGUAGGGUAAAGGCUUACCAAGGCAAUGAUGCGUAGCCGAAUUGAGAGGUUGAUCGGCCACAUUGGGACUGAGACACGGCCCAAACUCCUACGGGAGGCAGCAGUAGGGAAUCUGCCACAAUGGGCGAAAGCCUGAUGGGGCAACGCCGCGUGGGUGAAGAAGGUCUUCGGAUCGUAAAACCCUGUUGUUAGAGAAGAAAGUGCGUGAGAGUAACUGUUCACGUUUCGACGGUAUCUAACCAGAAAGCCACGGCUAACUACGU
rnacentral:rRNA from 1 species